GGCCGUCUGGCGAAAUGGAAUCGCGUCCGAUUAUGAUGUGGGAAAAGUUAGUCCAAAUGUAAUCAGGAGAUUGCAGGUUCGACUCCUGCGAUGGUCA